rnacentral:rRNA from 1 species
GAUGAACGCUGGCGGCGUGCCUAAUACAUGCAAGUCGAGCGAACGGACGAGAAGCUUGCUUCUCUGAUGUUAGCGGCGGACGGGUGAGUAACACGUGGAUAACCUACCUAUAAGACUGGGAUAACUUCGGGAAACCGGAGCUAAUACCGGAUAAUAUUUUGAACCGCAUGGUUCAAAAGUGAAAGACGGUCUCGCUGUCACUUAUAGAUGGAUCCGCGCUGCAUUAGCUAGUUGGUAAGGUAACGGCUUACUAAGGCAACGAUGCAUAGCCGACCUGAGAGGGUGAUCGGCCACACUGGAACUGAGACACGGUCCAGACUCCUACGGGAGGCAGCAGUAGGGAAUCUUCCGCAAUGGGCGAAAGCCUGACGGAGCAACGCCGCGUGAGUGAUGAAGGUCUUCGGAUCGUAAAACUCUGUUAUUAGGGAAGAACAUAUGUGUAAGUAACUGUGCACAUCUUGACGGUACCUAAUCAGAAAGCCACGGCUAACUACGUG